AUUACAUGAUGAGGAUAUUAUCUUAGAAACUCCUUAAAUUUUUCUCAAGCAUCGAGCAUUGAUUCAUCGUCUCCUUGUCUAAAUAAGGUGAUUUCCUUCCUCAUAUU